CCUACGGGGGGCUGCAGUAAGGAAUAUUGGUCAAUGGACGAAAGUCUGAACCAGCCAUGCCGCGUGGAGGAUGAAGGUCCUCUGGAUUGUAAACUUCUUUUAUAUGGGACGAAAAAAGGCCUUUCCAGGUCGUCUGCCGGUACCAUAUGAAUAAGCACCGGCUAACUCCGUGCCAGCAGCCGCGGUAAUACGGAGGGUGCCAGCGUUAUCCGGUUUCACUGGGUCGAAAGGGUGUGUGGGUGUCUUGGUAGAAAUCCCCGGGCUUAACUUGGGAACUGCCAUUGAUACUAUCAGUCUUGAAUACCGUGGAGGUCAGCGGAAUAUGUCAUGUAGCGGUGAAAUGCUUAGAUAUGACAUAGAACACCAAUUGCGAAGGCAGCUGGCUAGACGAGUAUUGACACUGAGGCACGAAAGCGUGGGGAUCAAACAGGAUUAGAUACCCUAGUAGUC
rnacentral:rRNA from 1 species